UGGCUAUAUUUGAGUAUUGUCACUUUCCACCCUCCACUGACUCUACUAGGGGUGUCCCUAGUACCCUCAUUAUUGCUGUCUCCACCUCUGGGGGUCACUGAUGCCUUGCUCUUGCCAGUGUCACUGCAGUCACUGGCCUCGCCACCAGGGGCACAGUAAAGGGAGGAUGCCUCUGUCACGUCCAGGAUCACCUGAGUCAUAAGAACUGCCUCCAUGAUUUAAGGAAACCUCUUUUCUUAAGCUACUAUGACUUACAGCAAUUCGGUAAAGUACAUCUUUGUGAACAAAUAUGAAAUGAUGACUUUUUCUCCCUACUUGAUCUCUCCAGAACUCAGAAGCUCUUAGCAUGCCUCCUCUGGGAAAUCUC
rnacentral:lncRNA from 1 species